AUGAUUUUACGUGACCAUGCAGGCCAAGUAAUCUUCGCCGCUUCCCAUUGGCUCUUCUGCUGUCCCGGUUCUCUCGAGGCUGAGCUGGCCGCGUGCGAGGAGGGGCUCAAGCUAGCCCUUCACUGGUCCCAGGCCCUGCUGGUGGUGGAAACUGAUUGUGCGGAGAUCAUCGCACUGCUCAAGGCCGGGGAAUCUGAUCGUUUCAGGAACAUGCAUCAAGUAAGAGAAAUCUCUGACCUGCUUAAGGAGCGGCAAACUGAAGUCCGUAAGAUUAGCCGAUUGCAGAAGAAAGCUGGACAUGCCAUGGCUGCGAUAGGACGUGCACAUCAUCACACAGCGUGUUGGCUAGCAAAUGUACCACCGGAGAUUAGCACUAUCAUUACAGAUGAUUGUAAAAAUGUUACCACUUGUUUAAUGAAUGCUUUCCCCCGC
rnacentral:rRNA from 1 species